rnacentral:rRNA from 1 species
UGCAAGUCGAGCGGACAGAUGGGAGCUUGCUCCCUGAUGUUAGCGGCGGACGGGUGAGUAACACGUGGGUAACCUGCCUGUAAGACUGGGAUAACUCCGGGAAACCGGGGCUAAUACCGGAUGGUUGUCUGAACCGCAUGGUUCAGACAUAAAAGGUGGCUUCGGCUACCACUUACAGAUGGACCCGCGGCGCAUUAGCUAGUUGGUGAGGUAACGGCUCACCAAGGCGACGAUGCGUAGCCGACCUGAGAGGGUGAUCGGCCACACUGGGACUGAGACACGGCCCAGACUCCUACGGGAGGCAGCAGUAGGGAAUCUUCCGCAAUGGACGAAAGUCUGACGGAGCAACGCCGCGUGAGUGAUGAAGGUUUUCGGAUCGUAAAGCUCUGUUGUUAGGGAAGAACAAGUGCCGUUCAAAUAGGGCGGCACCUUGACGGUACCUAACCAGAAAGCCACGGCUAACUACGUGCCAGCAGCCGCGGUAAUACGUAGGUGGCAAGCGUUGUCCGGAAUUAUUGGGCGUAAAGGGCUCGCAGGCGGUUUCUUAAGUCUGAUGUGAAAGCCCCCGGCUCAACCGGGGAGGGUCAUUGGAAACUGGGGAACUUGAGUGCAGAAGAGGAGAGUGGAAUUCCACGUGUAGCGGUGAAAUGCGUAGAGAUGUGGAGGAACACCAGUGGCGAAGGCGACUCUCUGGUCUGUAACUGACGCUGAGGAGCGAAAGCGUGGGGAGCGAACAGGAUUAGAUACCCUGGUAGUCCACGCCGUAGACGAUGAGUGCUAAGUGUUAGGGGGUUUCCGCCCCUUAGUGCUGCAGCUAACGCAUUAAGCACUCCGCCUG